rnacentral:rRNA from 1 species
AUACGAAGGUCCCGAGCGUUAUUCGGAAUCACUGGGCGUAAAGGGAGCGUAGGCGGCGCGGUAAGUCAGAUGUGAAAUCUCAGAGCUCAACUCUGAAACUGCAUUCGAUACUGCCGUGCUAGAGUAAUGGAGAGGUAACUGGAAUUCUCGGUGUAGCAGUGAAAUGCGUAGAUAUCGAGAGGAAGACCAACGGCGAAGGCAGGUUACUGGACAUUUACUGACGCUGAGGCUCGAAGGCUAGGGUAGCGAAAGGGAUUAGAAACCCUAGUAGUCC